rnacentral:rRNA from 1 species
GACGAACGCUGGCGGCGUGCUUAACACAUGCAAGUCGAACGGAAAGGCCCUGCUUUUGUGGGGUGCUCGAGUGGCGAACGGGUGAGUAACACGUGAGUAACCUGCCCUUGACUUUGGGAUAACUUCAGGAAACUGGGGCUAAUACCGGAUAGGAGCUCCUGCUGCAUGGUGGUGGUUGGAAAGUUUCGGCGGUUGGGGAUGGACUCGCGGCUUAUCAGCUUGUUGGUGGGGUAGUGGCUUACCAAGGCUUUGACGGGUAGCCGGCCUGAGAGGGUGACCGGCCACAUUGGGACUGAGAUACGGCCCCGACUCCUACGGGAGGCAGAAGUGGGGAAUAUUGCACAAUGGGCGGAAGCCUGAUGCAGCAACGCAGCGUGCGGGAUGACGGCCUUCGGGUUGUAAACCGCUUUCGCCUGUGACGAAGCGUGAGUGACGGUAAUGGGUAAAGAAGCACCGGCUAACUACGUG